GACGAACGCUGGCGGCGUGCUUAACACAUGCAAGUCGAACGGAAAGGCCCUGCUUUUGUGGGGUGCUCGAGUGGCGAACGGGUGAGUAACACGUGAGUAACCUGUCCCUGACUUUGGGAUAACUUCAGGAAACUGGGGCUAAUACCGGAUAGGAGCUCCUGCUGCAUGGUGGGGGUUGGAAAGUUUCGGUGGUUGGGGAUGGACUGGCGGCUUAUCAGCUUGUUGGUGGGGUAGUGGCUUACCAAGUCUUUGAAGGCUAGCCGGCCUGAGAGGGUGACCGGCCACAAUGGGACUGAGAUACGGCCCAGACUCCUACGGGACGCAACAGUGGGGAAUAUUGCACAAUGGGCGGAAGCCAGAGGCAGCAACGCCGCGUGCGGGAUGACGGCCUUCGGGUUGUAAACCGCUUUCGCCUGUGACGAAGCGUGAGUGACGGUAAUGGGUAAAGAAGCACCGGCUAACUACGUG
rnacentral:rRNA from 1 species